UACGAAGGGGGCUAGCGUUGCUCGGAAUUACUGGGCGUAAAGCGCACGUAGGCGGAUUGUUAAGUCGGUGGUGAAAUCCUGGAGCUCAACUCCAGAACUGCCUUCGAUACUGGCGAUCUCGAGUUCGGGAGAGGUGAGUGGAACUGCGAGUGUAGAGGUGAAAUUCGUAGAUAUUCGCAAGAACACCAGUGGCGAAGGCGGCUCACUGGCCCGAUACUGACGCUGAGGUGCGAAAGCGUGGGGAGCAAACAGG
rnacentral:rRNA from 1 species